CUUUUACUCUGGUUUGUAUGUGU
rnacentral:snRNA from 1 species